UUUUGUCUCCAUGCCUUGUUGCCCGUCCUUUGCUUGUUAUCGCCGUUCACCACACCCUGCUUGUUCAUUUACUCUUGUUCUUGGCCACCUCCCUGACCAAGGCCCUCCUUGCGCGGUUACCGAGUUUGGUCAGGUGGCCAACUCUAGGAAGUGUCCAGAAGAAUGAGCAGGUGGUGCUGUACUCGCCCAACUGAGCAUGGCAACAGGAGCACUUGAGGCAACGCGUGUGCCAGUACCGUUCCAUGGAG